GCCUAGAUUUAGAGACAAACUAGCACACACACAUAAUCUCCCUUCCUAGCCGAACAUUGUGUGACUGAGAACAGCCCGACGAGACCCGGAGGAACGACGGACGGCUCAACAGGACCAAUCCAAGAAGACAACACCUCAACUGUGGCCAACCAAAAGACCGUGACUUCCAGACUCAACCUACUUUCUGUACUGUACAUAACAUGCUUGCAAUCUGUUAUCGGGGCUUCUUUCUGCUGGUUCCUUGUGAGCCAAAUGAAUGAGCCCGUAUACGUUGUACCAGAUAUCUUUACUCUGAAUAAACUGUCGCUUGUCACAUAAUUGACCACCUUGUCCGAAUCGACCCUUGACCGACUCGCCCUAUCUACAUAUCCCAUUAUCAACACUAUCAGAUCUCUGGAGAAGCUCAAAAACAACAGGGAGAUUGUCCACACUCCACCAGUCUCAGGAGAGUGCUGCUGGGGAAGACAUUAGGCAGAGUGCAACUAGAAACACCAUCCUGGGAAGAGACGUGUUCAAGGAAGAUGUCUAUGCUGGAUCAGUCACCUUUGAGUGUCAGAAGGAGAUGGCUGACAUCAAAUGGGAGACAUUGUAACAGUGAUUGACACUCCAGGGCUGUUUUGCCCAACAGUGGAUAAUGUGGAGAUCAUGAAGGAAAUUGCCUGACAGACAGACCCUGAUGUGGAGUGCCACCUGGCCCAAGGACGUGUGACAGCUAGCAGAGGACUUCCUGAAGGACUAUGUCCAGAUCAACGUGGGAGCCCUGGAGCUGAGCGCCAACCACAACAUCCUGCAGAUUGUGGACGUGUGCAUGGAGAGUGAGAAGGACAAGAAGCUGCUUCAGCUGAUGGAGGAGAUCAUGGCUGAGGAGAACAAGACCAUCAUCUUUAUGGAGACUAAGAAAUGCUGCGACGAUCUGACCCGCAGAAUGAGAUGUGAUGGAUGAGGGAGGGAGGGAAAGGAACACACACACUGGGAGUGGCCAGCGAUGCGUAUCCAUGGUGACAAGACUCAGCCAGAGAGAGACUGGGUGCUGACAGAGUUCCGUAGUGGCAAGGUUCCUAUUCUUAUUGCUACUGAUGUGGCCUCACGUGGUUUGGGUAUGUACUGUGUGCUCAGCAUAAAAGCAGUCCCUCAAUCCCACAGUCCCCCCACAAAAUGCAUAUCCAGUGCUGUCAACAGUUAAGUAACUUUUUCAGCAUAUUGUCAAACGUAAAGGUUAUUUCAUUGUACAAACCGGCAAUCUUAGUAUAGUGAACUAAUGUGCUAUUUUUGCCUUUCGGUGUAUGAGGCAGGUGCUACCGUUUCUCUGUAACUUUUUUUCUCAGCUCAUUCAGAUAUUGCGCUUUUGGUUUUUCAGCUUUAAUUAGUUUGUACGUAAGUGAUUAUUUUCCCACUUAGAAUUUCUCUGUUAAAGGUGGUCAGUAAUUCAGUUCCAGGACAGUAUUUUGAAAUAUGGAUAGACAUUUCCCGUCAUGAGGUAGUUAUUCGACUUCUUACGUAGGUUACAUUUUAAUUGCUUAUUUUGUGGGAUCAUUCCAACCCCUCGGUAGCUGAACAAUAUUUCAUUUUUGUUUCAUGGUCUUGGGAUAUUGUUUCUCUAUUGAACUCUGUAAACCAGUCACACAUGCUUGUUUCUUCCUAGUGUAGGGGUGUAUCGGUUUGUGCUUGGCUGCUGCUCUGUCCUUUCCACCUGUAGUUGAAUCAUUCUAGUAUGUAGAGCGACCUGUAAAAUCACAUUUUUACUGUCUGGUUUUGUUUUUCAGGUUUCAAUAAAGCUUUUGAAGGUG